UGGACUUACUUCGGUUGAGAAGUUUAUUCAACGCGUAGUUUUAGUGAUUAAAACUAUCGACGUAAUAAGAUCGUCUGCUUUGUAAAGAGAUCCUAUUACAGCGUGACAUUUUGGAGUAUAACAUGGAAUGAAAAUAAAACAUGCCUCAAGACAGUGUAACUGGAAAACCUCCAAAAAGUAAGCAAAAGAAGGACUUGUCUAGAAUACGAAACAAUUCUGAUUUGGAUUUUCAGCCUCCUCAUGUUCGUGGUGAUGACAG